ensembl:lncRNA
GGCUUGAGUCGGUGCAAGCCCCGGGAUUGCCUGAGGCAAGCCAAAGGAGCCCCAGAUGGAGACGGGACUGCCGGUCGUCGGGUGUCCUGGAAGCCGAAUGCGAAUGCGGAGGGGCUCGCGGGCCGCGCGGAGGCAACCCAGAUC